rnacentral:misc_RNA from 1 species
AAAAUUAUUAUUUUUAAAUGAAAGCAACAGGAUUAAAAGAUAAAACACUUGCAAACAAUACCCAUGGGAACAGAUAAAGUUCUAUAAUAACUCAGUUACUUGCAAGUAAAAGCCCCAGAAGAACACUCCCACUACGAAACUCUCCCCCACCCAGCCUUAAUACACUUGCACCCUACACUUGCCUCGAGCUUCAAACGUUGACCUCGUGCUUCAACCAUGUUUUACCAGGAAAAGAAACCAGAAAAGAGCAAGGGUUCAGUCUAGACUUGCCUACCAGCAGCUUCACCAACAAAUGGCAAAUAAGGAGUCUUACCCAGAACACAACUCACUAACCCAUAAACAAAGCAGAAACAACUGAACAAAAACACAGCAUUGUGGCCCCAAACCAUGAGCUUAAACCC